rnacentral:rRNA from 1 species
AGUGAACGCUGGCGGUAGGCCUAACACAUGCCAGUCGAACGGCAGCACAGUAAGAGCUUGCUCUUACGGGUGGCGAGUGGCGGACGGGUGAGGAAUACAUCGGAAUCUACUUUUUCGUGGGGGAUAACGUAGGGAAACUUACGCUAAUACCGCAUACGACCUACGGGUGAAAGCAGGGGAUCUUCGGACCUUGCGCGAUUGAAUGAGCCGAUGUCGGAUUAGCUAGUUGGCGGGGUAAAGGCCCACCAAGGCGACGAUCCGUAGCUGGUCUGAGAGGAUGAUCAGCCACACUGGAACUGAGACACGGUCCAGACUCCUACGGGAGGCAGCAGUGGGGAAUAUUGGACAAUGGGCGCAAGCCUGAUCCAGCCAUACCGCGUGGGUGAAAAAGGCCUUCGGGUUGUAAAGCCCUUUUGUUGGGAAAGAAAAGCAGCAGGUUAAUACCCCGCUGUUCUGACGGUACCCAAAGAAUAAGCACCGGCUAACUUCGUG